ACAAGCAGGGGGAGUGGGAGAGGAAGAAGCAGGCUCCCAGCCGAGGAGCCCGAUGUGGGACUCGAUCCCGGAACACCGGGAUCACGCCCUGAGCCGAAGGCAGAAUGCUUAACGACUGCACUACCCGGGCGCCCCAGUAAGAAGAACUUUUGACACAUCCAGGUUUCUGCUAUCUUUAAAAUCAUAAAACUAAGCUGAAUGAAAAUUUCCAAAACUGACAGAAAAAGCUGCGUCCAAACAGAACAAAAAUUAACAUAGGACUGAAUGAAAUAAGGAAGAUGAUAAAAUAUUCCUUUAUGAACAAAUUGAAACAUUUAAUUUUCUCCCUAUCUGAACCCUCCAGGAUUCAGAAACCCUCAGACACCCUUGGAAACACAGGUUAUCCUACCAAGGAUGUGUCAUAUUUGAGAGAGACAUGACCAGACAGCUUUAAGGAACUAAGCUUGACUUUGUGGAGCCUUGGAGAUAUUGGCCUGCUGCUUGGCUGACAGAGUUCCCAGCAGCUUUACCAGCUUUAGGGCAGGCAGGAGUGCCUGAGGAAUGUCACACAUGUCCCUCCUGGGCAGGGGGCUGGUUCGCUGUGUCAGCUUGUGCUCUGUCCUCAGCUUGCCUUCUGCUCCCUCAUCAUAGGGACAUCUCUGACCUCUAUUGGCUUGAAGAAGUUACAAAAGAUGAGCCCUUAACCCUUCAAGAACCUUAAAGAUUUAAGGACUGAAAACUGAUCAGAGGGGAAGUGAUGAGGGAUAGAAGCAAGAAAAUGUCCAUCUUCAGCCCAGAAGGCUGACCUACAGCCUGCAUCAUUGGAUAAGGAUCAAAUACUCACUGGACGCUACAUUCUCCAGAGGUCUACUGACAGCUGUACAUCUCACCUCUGUUAAUACCGAACUGAAUGAUAAGCCCCAGAGAAAUCUUGCAAAGUAGUUUUAUGAGUAAAAACUCAAAGACAUUUAUGAUCUAAUGCUCCCUUAUGUCUCCUCCCCCUUGAGGACUAAGUACAUGACUGAUGUCAUGUGGGAUCUGGGAGUGAAAGGGCAGGAAAGAAUUCUUGAGACAUUUCCGGUGCAAAAAGGUGUUUUUAUUAAAGCAUGGGAACGGGACCCAUGGGCAGGAAGAGCUCUCCGGGGAUUUCGAGGAGUGACUGAUUAUGUACUUUUUAGUUAGUGGGGGUUAGGGACAGCGGAAGCCUCUAAGGAAUUUGGAAGGAAGUCUUCCAGGACCUUUGGGAGGCUAGCUGCUGUUAAGAUAAGGUUAUUUACCACUGUCCAGUAAGACAUAAGUUACGAGAACCUUCAGAUGUCUGUCAGUGAGCCAUAUGUUUGGAGGACGAUUGCCAACAUAGAUCUUUUGGGGGGAGCAUAUAGAGUAGAGAUAAAGGAAGUUUUCAAAGGGAUUUUCAUACGCUAAGAUUGCUUUUUGCCUCUGGCAAAGCAUCAACAUUGGGGCACCCAGGUGGCUUAGUCGUUAAGCGGCUGCCUUUGGCUCAGGUCAGGAUCCCCCUGGUGUUGAGAUCAGCCCUGCGUCAGGCUCCCUGCUCAGCGGGGAGUCUGCUUCUCCCUCUGCCCCUCCACUCACGCUCUCACUUUGUCAGAUAAACAAUGUUUUUUUAAGCAGUUGUGAGUUCCUCGAGGAAUGUCCUACUCUCCCUGCCCCAGGUAUUUGUGGAUGGGCUGUGGGUUGUAAGAACAUGUAAUCUUCUCUACAUUUCUUUUGCCUUUGUCCUCAUCAAUAACCGCCAGCCUCAUACAGCAAGAGCGCAGCUCUUCCGGCCUACAAGUCCUGUCCUGGUGCUAGAACAAAAGCAGCUUUUUUUUUUUUAAGAUUUUAUUUAUUUAUUUGAGAGAGAGAGAGAGAUCGAAAGAGAGCACAACCCGGGGGAGGGAUA